rnacentral:rRNA from 1 species
UUGACGGGGGCCCGGCACAAGCGGCGGAGCAUGUGGAUUAAUUCGAUGCAACGCGAAGAACCUUACCUGGGUUUGACAUACACCGGAAAACCGUAGUAGAUACGGUCCCCCUUGUGGUCGGUGUACAGGUGGUGCAUGGCUGUCGUCAGCUCGUGUCGUGAGAUGUUGGGUUAAGUCCCGCAACGAGCGCAACCCUUGUCUUAUGUUGCCAGCACGUGAUGGUGGGGACUCGUAAGAGACUGCCGGGGUCAACUCGGAGGAAGGUGGGGACGACGUCAAGUCAUCAUGCCCCUUAUGUCCAGGGCUUCACACAUGCUACAAUGGCCAGUACAGAGGGCUGCGAGACCGUGAGGUGGAGCGAAUCCCUUAAAGCUGGUCUCAGUUCGGAUCGGGGUCUGCAACUCGACCCCGUGAAGUCGGAGUCGCUAGUAAUCGCAGAUCAGCAACGCUGCGGUGAAUACGUUCCCGGGCCUU